CUUGUGCACUGUUCGAUUCCGUCCCACAAAAGUCUCUCGCCUCCCUCAAUCCCCUUUGCCCCGCGUCGCCGAAACCCCCGCCUCCUCAUCCUCCUCACGCCUCCAAGCCAAGCCAAGCCAAGGCCGUCGGUCUUCGCCGCCUCCUCCGACGGCCCCCUCCUCUACCCGUUCCUCACGCCCUUAAGCGCCGGCCUGAUGCGAUUCUGUCCCUCGCUGUAAUCAAGCCCUAGUCCGCUUCGAUUAUCGGCUCUCCGUGGGCAAUCGAGAAUUCCGCCGGAUAUUUCUUCUCCAAUAACCUACCCAAGGUAUCGUUUCCAGGAGCCCUGCCCCCAGAGUAGCCAAGAGGCUGGCGUCGGGGGCCGAUUUGCUGCUACUUUUGAGGAGUUGGUACCCUGUAGGUGGCCCGUCGGCUGCAGGGUCUUGGUUCGUGGAGUUCUUUUCAGGGCUUUUCUUGGGGAGUCAUGGGAGCUUUCUGCUCGUGUUUGCAAGCCGAUUACUCCGACCGCCAUGGCAACCAGACUUCUGGUGCGUUUAGGAACUGCAUGUGCCUCAGGUGUUUUACCCAGCAGCUGAUCAACGCUUACACUGUUUUAUUCCGAGUUGGAACGGUCCACUCUGUUUCUCAAGCUAUAGAAGCCACCCCGCUUGAUUCAUCUGAAAGUUCAUUCGAUAUAUAUCGUUCACCUCCAAGACCACUGCCAUAUGAUGAUCCUAGAUUCUCCCCUCCUCUGCGUGACUGGUUUGCAUCAAGGCAGGAUCCUUCAAGCCAUUCACCAGAGGAAUCAGAACCACUCAGACCAAAUUAUGAUGAGGAAAUAGAAACGAUGAGUUCAGUCAACAAGCCAAGUAAAACAAACUAUGACACAAAAAUGAAAAGAAGCAGCUCUGCUUACGGAGAUAAGUUGUCCCGAAAGGAAUCUGGAAAUUAUUUCACCUACUUUUCUCCAUCUACUGAAGAUGAAGAUGUCUGUCCAACAUGUCUUGAAGAUUAUACUUCGGAGAAUCCUAGGAUAGUAAUGCAGUGCUCACAUCACUUCCACCUUGGCUGUAUCUAUGAGUGGAUGGAAAGAAGUGAGGCAUGCCCUGUUUGUGGAAAGUGUUCAGAUCACCAUUCACCGCAAACUGUCCUGAUUGCAGGUUCCACACGUGGAACCUGAAAGCAGCUGUAUCGCCACAACACUAAUUUUAGGAAGUGCCGUAUCAUAAAUAUGGAAAAUGGAGUUCAACGAGACAACUUAGACCUCAGACUGGACUAAGUGUCUUGAAUUAACAUCUCAUAUGGGAACCUGAAAAUAUAGGUACCUAGUCCUGCAAAUACUCUGUAAAUACACCUUUGUAAGUAUCGAAUCAGCAGCGUGCUCUAUUUAGUAUACUGGAAUUCUUGAUAUGUUGGAACGGUGCAUAUAAACAUUUAUUUCUUUUAUUUUUCUUUCAAAUGGCCGGCAGGGGAAACUUGUUCCCUUGGUUUGUGCCUCAGCGUUGUUGCGACAUGUUUUGAUUCUCAAGUGAUAGUCACUUGGAGGCUGUAAGUUGAUGAUAUUUGUUAAUAUAAUAAUCAUAUGAAUCCCAUGGCUCUGUGGAAA